AUGGCACGUCCACCAACAAACCAGGAAAACAUAAUCUUAUGGCACACAAUGAGGCAACGAAGAGUGAAAAUACUCAUACUUUUAUAUCUGUUGUUGCAAAUCUUCAUGAUGUUACUUAGGAGGAGUCGAUAUAGGAUGCGUCGAAUUAGGCAACCUUCUUGGUAUGACCCAAUUACUCGAGCACAAACCCUGAACAACAAGAUACGAGUAAGCGAUACGGAAUGCAUUUUCCAACUACGGAUGGAUAGGCGUUGUUUCAUAGUGUUAUGUUCUUUGGUAAGAAAAAUAGGUGGGUUGAAGGAUACUAGGCAUAUGAGCGUGGAAGAAACGGUUGCCAUGUUUCUUCACAUACUUGCACAUGAUGAGAAAAACCGAGCAAUCCAUCAUGAUUUCCAGCGUUCACCUGAAGUGGUAAGUCGGAAAUUCCAUGAAGUACUAGGCGCAGUUUUAAAACUCUGGAAAGUGUUGCUUAAGAAGCCUCGACCAAUUCCAGCCAAUUGCGCUGAUGGAAGGUGGAAGUGCUUUAAGAAUUGUUUAGGUGCCUUAGAUGGGACAUAUAUAGAAGUUCAUGUGCCCAAAACUGACAAACCAAGAUUCCGUUCAAGAAAGAAUGAAGUUGCAACAAAUGUUUUUGGUGUAUGUGCGCCAGACAUGCAAUUCAUUUAUGUAUAUCCGGGUUGGGAAGGAUCUGCGGCUGAUGGGAGGGUGCUUCGAGAUGCUUUAUCAAGAUCAAAUGGCCUUAAGGUUCCUCGGGGGUGCUAUUAUCUAGUUGAUGUUGGGUACAAGAACUGUGAAGGGUUUCUUGCUCUAUACAGAGGGCAACGGUAUCAUCUAAAUGAUUGGAAAAACCCACCAACAAAAAAAGAGGAAUUGUUUAACAUGCUGCAUUCAUCAGCAAGAAAUGUGAUUGAGAGGACUUUUGGAUUGCUCAAGAUGCGAUGGGCUAUCAUUAGAAAUCCCUCUUAUUAUCCUUUUGAUACACAAGUUGAUAUAAUUCUGGCAUGCUGCUAUCUUCACAAUCUGAUACGACAACAAAUGCGGGUAGAUCCCUGUGAACAAUAUCUAGAUGAAUACAUGCUACGUCUUCAACAGCAGCAAGUAAAUGAGGAUGUCAUUCUGUCCACCGAAACAUCAUCCGAGUGGACUGAGAAAAGAGACAAGUUAGCUGAUGAAAUGUGGAAAGCUUGGAUAGCCAAAAGACAAGAUCGUUGA
rnacentral:rRNA from 1 species